rnacentral:rRNA from 1 species
UACGGAGGGUGCAAGCGUUAUCCGGAGUUACUGGGCGUAAAGGGCGUGUAGGUGGUUUCGUAAGUCUGGCGUGAAAUUUUUCGGCUUAACCGGGAAAGGUCGUCGGAUACUGCGGGACUAGAGGACGGUAGAGGCGUGUGGAAUUCCGGGUGUAGUGGUGAAAUGCGUAGAGAUCCGGAGGAACACCAGUGGCGAAGGCGACACGCUGGGCCGUACCUGACACUGAUGCGCGACAGCAUGGGGAGCAAACAGG